UUACGGUCAUACCGCAUUGAAACACUGAUUCUUGUACGAUCACCGAAGUUAAACAACAUUGAGCCUAGUCAGUACAAAGAUAGGUGACCCCUUCGGAAUACUAGGUGGUGUAA